CUCAUCUCCCUCCGUCCCUUUAGAUCUGCGCGUCACCGGCCCCGAUCCCCUGCCGCACGAGCGCAGCCGGCAUGGAAAAGACGUCGCCGCGGCCAGCACACCCGUCACCUCCGUCCCCUUUGCAACUGCGCAUCUUCUCUCCCAUGCCUGCGCUGGGCACCCCCAACCCUGGUGCGUUGCCCUACCCCGUGCCCUUCGCCGCGGGCUACUUCUCCUCCUCCAACGCCACCGCCGCCACCACUGUGUCCCCAUUCUCUGAAGUUGCCUCAUUCUCCUGCGUGUCCCUGUUCGGAGAUGCCCCGCCUAGCACCUGGGAGAGCUCGAUCCUACAGACUGGAACUCGAUCCGGGCAUGGAUGAGAUGGAUCCGAAGAAAGGAGUUCGAUUUGGGAGGGUCGGUCACAGAUCGUCAUCAGCUGUGUUGUCCUUCAUCGGGUGGUCGUGCAGGAUGUCGUGGAGGCUGAGCUUGACACACUCCUUCAUGCACAGCCUCGCCCGUGCCAGGGUUGAUGGCGAGUGUGUGCAGGUCGAUGAGGGCAGGGUGGCCAAGCAAGCAACGCCGCCGCCGCCGCCGCGAGCAAGGGUUGCCUCGUGGUCUCGGAUUCCGGCGACCAUGGCGGUUGCCGCCCCGGGCAUCUCAACCUCGACGAGUCCGUCGUCGGGAUUUCGCAUCCGCGUCACCACCGUCGUUUCCACCACUGUCGCCCACCGUCAUCGCCUCUUUUGCCGUCAAAGGCGCACAGUUCCAUCGCCUUCGCUUGCCAAGUGGCCAUGGCCGUCGAUCUAGCUCCGGUCCAAUUUAUUUUGCAGGGGUUUGCCGAGUUUAGCUCUGGCCAGCAGCAUCAUCGUGGCCGUCGAGGUAGCUUUGGCUGCGUUGGUGCCCAGUGUAGUCGUCACCGACGAGCUGGUGCCUUUCGUGCUACCUUCUUCUACUCCGGCCGGUGUUUCGUCGGUGGACUGCAUGGUGGGGCCACACCAGCUGAUGGUGGGUACGCGCUGCUGCGCCCAGGCAGAGAGGUCGAACAGAGAGGCCUGGCGCAGCUCCGGCUAGGCGGGUCACCAUGCGGAGCACAUGUCCUCAUCUCCCAUGAAUUCACCCACACACCAUGAAAUGUCGUUCAUUGAUGCCGACCAUAUACCUUUUGGCCGCAACCGACAUGUGAAUGGGCGUCGGCGCUCUCACACAUGGCUUCAGGAAGAGUUUUCAAAACUUCUUAUUUACGAUGUGCAUAUGAUGAUGUUUCGAACAAGGGUAUUAUUGGGAAGGAUGGGUAUGUAUGAUCAGUAUCAGGAUUGGCACCUUGAUGUCGAUAACAUGACAUAUGAGGAACUGCUUGAUCUUGAGUACCGAAUUGGAUAUGUAAGUACAGGGUUGCAUGAGGAUGAGAUCAUUCGAAGCCUUAGGAUGGUCAAAUACUUGCAUUCCACCCCAUACAUUUUUCAACAUAAAUGGAUCCGAGAUGUAGCAUUUGUCAAGUAUACACGGGGAUAUUGUUUCAUCGCAUAUCACAUGUAGGCAUGAUGAUUUACAGUUUAGAUGAUGGUUACAUAUAGGUAAAUAGUAUUGCCUUCUCGCAAGCUUCCCCGGUUGUCCAGAGUGAAGGACCUGAAGACACCUCAGCAUAUGGAUCUUUUGAAGCCUCCAUCUUUCUUACUUGACUGAGUAUGUAUUCAUUAUUCGAUUCGAGCUUACUUAGAAUUUUCUUUGAUCUUUUGUAUAUCAAUAUAGAAACCCUUCUCGCCCAGUGUAUAUGAAAAUAUACAUCUACAUUUUCAAUUAAUGUUAUUCAUUGAUUUCUA